rnacentral:rRNA from 1 species
CUACGGGGGGCACCAGUGGGGAAUAUUGGACAAUGGGGGAAACCCUGAUCCAGCAAUGCCGCGUGUGUGAAGAAGGCCUGCGGGUUGUAAAGCACUUUCGGUUGGGAGGACUGCUUCUAGCACUAAUAUUGUUGGAAGUUGACGUUACCUUCAGAAGAAGCACCGGCUAACUCCGUGCCAGCAGCCGCGGUAAUACGGCGGGUGCAAGCGUUAAUCGGAAUUACUGGGCGUAAAGCGCGCGUAGGCGGCUAGAUCAGUCGGGUGUGAAAGCCCCGGGCUUAACCUGGGAACUGCAUCCGAUACUGUCUAGCUUGAGUACAGGAGAGGAGAGUGGAAUUCCACGUGUAGCGGUGAAAUGCGUAGAUAUGUGGAGGAACACCAAUGGCGAAGGCAGCUCUCUGGCCUGAUACUGACGCUGAGGUGCGAAAGCGUGGGGAGCAAACAGGAUUAGAUACCCCGGUAGUC